GUGCAGCAGGCGCGAAACCUUCGCAAUGCAGGAAACUGCGACGAGGGAACUCCAAGUGCCUACGCUCAGCGUAGGCUGUUCUCAAGCCUAGAAAGCUUGAGGAGUAAGGGCUGGGGUAAGACGGGGUGCCAUCUGUGGUAGGCAGUCAAUAGAUUCGAUUUGUUACUGCAAGGCAUAAGCCGACCGCGGGUAAUACCCCGGCAGCCCAAGUGGUGGCCGCUUUUAUUGGGCCUAAAGCGUCCGUAGCCGG
rnacentral:rRNA from 1 species